ensembl:lncRNA
GCACAUCCAAGUGAUGUACACACAUACACACACAUUCCACCGGUGACUCUGUAGUCAUCGCCUUGCUUCCAGACACCGACGUGCUUUUGGAUUUAGCAGCCGGUGCCUCCUCUCAGCGAUGGUGUAAGGAGCUGCCAGAGGCAACUGGAGUUAAUGUGAGACCACUUAUACUGAGAUGUUAGUCCCUUCCAAUUAGCAUCAACUCUACAAGGAUGGGGAUUUAAAGGAGUGUUAGGUGUUCUACAAUAAACGGGACUAACUGACAGAAGAACCUAAGGCAUCGUGAUUUUAUUUUGGUGACCACGAUUCAGAAUCAGGACAAGAAACCUGUUCCUGGUUCAUGUCAUCUUAGCAACUUUGCUAUUAAAAAGCACCAAUAGCUCCAAGAGUCUGUAGCUCUCUGCUCAGGGACAGUCUUCUGCAGCCCUUCUGUGAUCACAGGCCUACCUGGCAUUUCUCAUCCAUAUCCUUCUUCUUUCCAUUCACCCAUCUUUCCCCGUCAUGAAAGGCCUGUCCAGUAGCCGGGGUCACCAUCAUGUGGUCUCCUAUGAACCAUCAUAUGAUCCACUGGGUCACCAUGUUGACCGCAAGCCAUAUUUGAUCAGUCAGAUGGACAUGCCUGUGCCCAUUCCCAUGCCACAUCCAGCUGAGCUGCCCUACUACAAUGCUCAGCGUACCUCAUACCCCUCUGACAGCAACAGCAUCGUCCCAUAUGGAACCUUC